CGCCUCUCGAGCCUUAUGAGAGGUCCAGCCUGCCCAGUGACUUUGUUCAACGGCCGCGGUAUCCUAACCGUGCGAAGGUAGCGUAAUCACUUGUUCUUUAAUUGUGGACUAGUAUGAAUGGCAUCACGAAGGUUAAACUGUCUCCUUUCUCUAAUCAGUGAAACUGAUCUCCCCGUGAAGAAGCGGGGAUAAAAAUAUAAGACGAGAAGACCCUAUGGAGCUUUAAACAUCUAGCACUUACCAUAUUAACACAAAACCUCCAGAAUCCCUAUAAUACUUCAGGUAAGAUGACUUUAAGUUUUUGGUUGGGGUGACCGCGGAGCAUAAUAAAACCUCCGUGUUGAAAGAAUAAUUUCUAAGCCAAGACCUACGAGUCUAAGCAUCAGAAUACUGACAUCCAUUGACCCAAUAUAUUUGAGCAACGAACCAAGUUACCCUAGGGAUAACAGCGCAAUCCACUUCAAGAGCCCCUAUCGACAAGUGGGUUUACGACCUCGAUGUUGGAUCAGGGUCUCCCAGUGGUGCAGCCGCUACUAAUGGUUCGUUUGUUCAACGAUUAAAACCCUACG
rnacentral:rRNA from 1 species